AUCAAAGAGCUUGCAAGAGCCAUUGUGCACCUAAAUGUAACUCUUGACAUAAUAUAGAUAUAAUAUAGAUAUAGUAUAGAACCGGGACGCCCUACACGCAGAUCACACAGACUGGGUGGGGUCUCACGCCCUCACCUCGUGGAGGGGGCCUCAACUGAGCCGCAAAUGCGAUGCAGUGAUAAAAAGGAAAUCAAAUGUAAAAAGUUAAAUUAAAAUAUUAAAACAGCAACACAACAUUAUUCUCAUAUUAAAAGACAGUCUGAAGAGGUGUGUUUUGAAGGUGGGGGGGUCGGUGCAGUCUCUGAUGUUUAAUGGGAGUGAGUUCCAGAGGGAGGGGGCAGCGAUGGAGAAAGCUCUGUCCCCCCAGGUUCGGUGCUUGGUUUGUGGGGGGAUAGACAGGAGGUUGGCUUCUGAUGAGUUAAUUGAAAGACCGUUCUUUAAUACUAUUAUAAUAUUUAGGUAGCCGAAAAAUAUCCACUCUUUUUGACUUAACCUAGCUGUCCUACAUUUUAUUUCUCUACAGAUGUACUGUCCAUUAUGUGGUUCCAGCGUGACAUCUUCGCAUGGCUUUUGUGGUGUCUGUGGCAGAGACAUCACAUUUCUAAAAGAUGUGACUAACAAAGUCCCUGAGGAGAUGCCCACCACUAGUGUGCAUCUAAGUGCACAGCCUAGCACCAGUGCAGCAGGAAGCUCAGCUGUAGAGUCCUUUCAGAAAUAUAGGGAAAUAAAAAAGAGGGAGAGACCUUUUUUACGAAGGGACGGCAUAACUCCAAAAAUAAACAGAAAUUGGUGAAGAUUUCUGUUGGAGUAAUGAGGAGGAUGGAUGGCUGCCUUAAACCUGUGAGAGGGAGGUCACUUCCCCUUAAUGUUGAACCUCAAUGGGCAUGUGAAGAACUGUUGGCUGCUGCCAUAAAAAAGCAGAAAGCCUUUAACCAGGACUUGGAAGAUGGUGCCCAUGUCUUGUUGUACCCUGAUGCGAGGGUGAUAACAAAUAUCCCCGGAACGGACACCCCUUUCACAGUACAGAUGUACAAUGAGGCCAUUGGAAAGCCCUACCAACGAAUUAUGUUGUACAUCUGUACUCUUGAAGCCGUUGAAAACAGUUGUUACACUGGAACAACCUCUUCAAGUGACGAGGACAGUGUGGUUGUUGCAAAGUUGCCAUCUGGAGACAGUCUUGCUGACACCGUGGUCAGUUUGGAUCUAUCGUGGCAUUUAUUCUUAAUUAAAGUGAAUUUAUUUUAUUUCAGUCAGUCAUUUGUGUGUUGUAUGCAGGUGUGGGACUUUCCAAAUGAACAGAGCACUCCCAGAAUGGACAACAGUUUGCCAGGGUCAAAUAAAACAUUGUCAACAUGUUAUUUUGUGCCACAAGAAGCAGAAUGUUUUAACAGUACAGUAGUUUGAAUAUAUUUUUUGUUUACCUUUAUCAGACCUCUCAGGCACCCACAACCAGCGUCUGAUCGGUAGGAUGGAGAACCAACCCCAUUCCAGGAAGAGGUCCAGUCUGCCCCGGGUCAGAACACCUUCUAUAGGUAAACGAUGUUGACAGUUGCAUCGUGACACAGUUGUUUGCAACUACACAACUGUGUAUGCACUUAUCAUUAUUGACAGCCAGUCUGAGCCAGAAGAGGAAACGGAGCAAACUGCAGAGGAAAUCACAGAAUACCUGACUGAGCCAGACAUUGUUGCAGAACUCUCUGCAAAAAUUAAAAAUACCUCUUGCAGCAGGUUCAAUAUUAAUAGAGCCAAUGUGUGGGAUGGAGCAAUCCGCGGCUUCAAAGGGGCCUCAUUCGACCGCUCUCAUCAGAUGCAGGUUAAGUUUACUGAUGAUGAGGGACAAACUGAGGAUGGAGUGGACACUGGUGGUCCCAAGCGUGAGUUCCUGACCCUCCUAAUGGAAUGCCUGAGAAUGAGAAGAAUAUUUGAUGGUCCACAGGACAGGAAAUUCCUCAAGUUCAACAAUGCAGCUGCAAAAGAUGACGAAUACUUUCAUGCUGGGAGGAUGAUUGCAACUUCUAUAGUUCAAAAACACAAGGAGAAAAAGAAGAAAACAUCAUGUCAUGGCUCACUGUCUCAAAAUCUGAUUCUAAAUGUAUAAUGUUCUUUAUAAAGAUAUAACUAAUACACAAUUAUGAAUGUAUAAUAUAAGCUGUUUUGUGUAUUUAAUCAUGCGUUGGUCUACAAUUUAAUGAUGGCUUCUACAUAUUUCACAUAAACAGACAAUGAAAAAAUGUGUCCUUCAUGCUGAUAACUAGUGUGUGCAUCUGCAAUUAGUAUUCUAAACAGAGUAGUGUGUUGAAUCCUUAUUUCUUGCAUUUGAAACAGAUACAAUAAAAAAAGUGAACUUACUGUUGUGUUCAACUUCUGCCAAAAACUGUACAUGUUUGCCACAGGAGCCACAGAACACUUGAACUGUCCCCAGAUGUUGGCCACAGUAAGGACAAAACAUGGCAGCCUGAAAAGACAUACAUUGAUGUAGUAAAUCCAUGUAAUCAAGUCAAUCAAAAACACAUAGUCUAAAUAGUGGUUAGCUAAAUAAAUAGAUACAUCAUGUUCACCGUU